UGCCCAGGCUGGUCUGGAACUCCUGAGCUGGACCGAUCCUCCUGCCUUGGCCUCCCAAAGUGCUGAGAUUGCAGGAGUAAUUGGGCAGUAUCUUUUAACUGCAGUGGAGAAGUGUCAACACUACUUUGGCUGUGGGACCAGGAUCCUGCUGCCUGGAGGCAGAUUGAUAUUUUUAUUUCACCUUUAAAGGAUGUACAGUAAGGGUGAGAACAUCUCGAUGAAAUCUCUGCAGUAAAUAACUCUUGGAUCCCUUUCCCAUACAAGUGAAAGGACAAAAGGAUGAUAUGCUGAGAUGGCCUCUUCACCUGCACCAAUGCCAGGGCCAGGGUGGGUCUCAGCUACCCACCCCCAGGAAAGAAGCCUCCUCACCAGUCUCAGGAAGAAAAAUCCUAGAGAAGGCUCUGAUUAGACCAACAUGGUCACAUGGCCACCUGUGUAGCAGGAGAGAAAAGGAACACACUGUACGAGAGAGGAGAAGCAGUUCUCUAAGCAGAAGGGAGCUGUUUGUUACUAGAUGAAGGAGACAGAGCACUGGGCAGACAAGUGGAACAGAUGUCCCCUCCAGAUAUAAGGUGACAUUACUGCUAUUCAUAUCAUUUCACAACAUGCAAUCGUUUAUGGGAACCUCUGAGAGUCAGGGGAGAUGAGAAAAAGGAAGUGGAGAUCAGAACAGAUCACAGAGCGAGAUCACUGAAUGGUCAGCAACAGGCUAUUUUGCAUACUUUCUCAUGUCAUCUUUGCAAGAACCUACAUCUUUGCAAGUAGGAAUUAACAGUCUGCAUUUUCAAGGGAAAGACCUUGAAUUUCUCCCUUGGACUCUGCUCCUCUCCUAGAGCCUCCUUCCAGUUUGGAAAAAGUUCUCCACUCCCAGUUUGGGUGUAAGGCCUUCACUUACACCCAAGUGUAACUGUGUAAGGCAAUCCUGUUUGAGGUCUGUCAAUCUGAGCUUGACCUUGGCUCUAUGAGCCCUUACUGGGUGGGGGUCUCAGGCAAGUCUGUGCCAUGCAUUUCCUCAUUGCACAUGGGGAUGACAAUGACUGU
rnacentral:lncRNA from 1 species